UUGCAUAUGUAUCUAUGUCAUUGGAACCAUAAUUAUGUGCCAAUUCUAUUUUUUGUGUAAAACAAUACCGAUAAAAUCAAAAUUAGAAAGUCAUAUAAAAUAACUAAGAACAGAAGACAGAUGUUGCAUAAGUAAUUUUUAUAUAUAAUUACAUUACAGACAUAGUGUCAUAUAUUUCGUUCGAUACCCUUUUUCGUAAAUAUCGUUAGUACAGGUGAACCACGAAUUCAAAUGUUCAACGAAUAACACAUUUUGUAUGGGCUUUGAUUGGUAGAGAUAGGCCACAGGCACUCGUCUCAGAAUUUUUUCCCCUAUAUACCUUUAUAUAACACGCAGUAUUAAGGUAUAUGGUAAAAAAAUGUCUGAGACAAGUGCCUGUGAGAUAGGCUAAGUAACGAAAUGAAAUAUCCAAGAAAAUUGAACUUUUCCUCAAUCCAUGAAAAUGAAAUGAAUCAACAUUUACAGACAUAGUUUUAUGUACGUGUUCAUAACAGUUAUUAUGGAUUUUGCCAUGACCAUUCUUUGUGUCGUCAUCUGAAUGUUCAGAAACUAACCAUCAAUCAUUGCUGAUGCAACAACUCAUUAAAUUGUAUGAUAUUUUAUGAAUUUUAAGAUAAAGAAUUUCGGAAACAGGUUUUUUAAGAAAAGUUAAGAAAUCUUUCAACUUAAAAAUUCACGAAUACAAAAAAUAUAUGAUAUGAU
rnacentral:lncRNA from 1 species